AUACUUACCUGGCAGGGGAGUUACCAUGAUCACAAAGGUGGUUUUCCCAGGGCAAGGCUUAUUCACUGCACUCCAGAUGUGCUGACCCCUGUGAUUUUCCCAAAUGUGGGAAACUUGACUGCAUAAUUUGUGGUAGUAGAGGACUGCGUUUGUGCUCUCCCGUG
ensembl:snRNA U1 U1 spliceosomal RNA